AAGUUAUUAAGGGCGCACGGUGGAUGCCUUGGCACUAGAAGCCGAUGAAGGACGUUACUAACGACGAUAUGCUUUGGGGAGCUGUAAGUAAGCUUUGAUCCAGAGAUUUCCGAAUGGGGAAACCCAGCAUGAGUUAUGUCAUGUUAUCGAUAUGUGAAUACAUAGCAUAUCAGAAGGCACACCCGGAGAACUGAAACAUCUUAGUACCCGGAGGAAGAGAAAGAAAAUUCGAUUCCCUUAGUAGCGGCGAGCGAAACGGGAAGAGCCCAAACCAACAAGCUUGCUUGUUGGGGUUGUAGGACACUCUAUACGGAGUUACAAAGGACGACAUUAGACGAAUCAUCUGGAAAGAUGAAUCAAAGAAGGUAAUAAUCCUGUAGUCGAAAAUGUUGUCUCUCUU
rnacentral:rRNA from 1 species